CACGUAACACACAUAGUGGCUCUCUUGUUUAUUAUUUCUCUUCUGUUUUGCCAACAUUAAACAGUGAAGGCCUGUUGGACACUUUGUGGAGUUCAGAUCAUUGAUCAUCAUCUCCUGGAGCUGAAGCUGCAGUCAUGAGCGUCUGUCCACGUUCUCUCCUCCUGAGUCUGCUGAUCACCCUCUACCUUCAGUCCUGUGUGGUGGCAAACAAUGGAAAAUCUCCAGAGGAAUGUUGUUCUAAUUUCUUCAUCAAACCGAUCCCAGUAAGAUCCAUCGUGUCCUAUGAAGAAACAAGGACUGACUGUCCAAAAGGUGCAGUUGUUUUUAUCAACAAGAAAAAGGCUCGUUUGUGUGUGGACCCCGGCUUCAAGUGGGUGAGGCGAGCCAUAGACCAGAUUGAUAUUAGAAACGUAGAAGGUUCCACCGGUGUUUAAACCUGUCUGUUUUAAUGUGAAAUCAGCGUAUGGUUUCUUUAUGGAAUGCACUUUUCAUCUCCUUAUUACAGCAGCGCUAGGAUGGUCUCUGCCUGGACCAGAGAAUAAAGCUUUUUCUUAUAAAUUACCUUUAAACAGAAAGCUCACGUGACUGCUCCUUUUAUUACUGUGACUGCAAAUCUUUUGUUAAAUAAAAAUACUUUUGAAGAAAACAAUGUUUUGAUGGAUUCCAGAAGAUCAGGUACAUUGCGAGAGGGAUUACUGUUUUUUUUAGGAGAAAGGUUGGGCAUGUUAAACAAUAGGAUAAUGCAUUUAUACUACAGGACGAUGGAUUAAUACAAUAUGUUAACACAUUAGCACUAUAGGAUAAUGCAUUUGUAUUGUUAGAAAUCCGGCAGGAAGAGUCCGGAGCUUCAGAUUCAGAUUCAGAUGAGUUUUAUUUACAUGCAUGCAGAGAAUCAUGCAUGGGCACAGCUUGGUCAUCAGUCUAUCAGCAGUCUAACAAGAAUAUUUUGGAAGGACCUUAUAUACAUUUUAAAUGUAUACAGGGUGGGAGAGGAAGGAGGAAGAAAAGGAGUUAGAGGAGGGCUAAGGAGGGGGAUGUAGAAGGUGAAUAUGAGAUGAAAUGUAGGGGUAGAAAUAAGGGGGUGAUUGUUAUCACCUUGAGGUUAUGAGACAAAGGGUCAGCUCAGUACAAACAAAGGAGUGAACUGACAAGGUUAGAGUGUUAUCACCUUUCACCUUAUCCACUGAUGCUUUGACGUAGAUUUACAAUUGGCAUGUUGCCGUUUAACCUUGGUCAGUGAUUGCUUAGGUUUUUUACAUGUUCUCUGGGCAUUCAUGGCAGCUGUUAUAUGCUUUGUACAUUUAUUGGCUAGCUCAGGAAUCUUUCUCUCAGCUUCCUCUAGCUUACCCUCCAUUUAUCUAAGCUUAUACUUCCAGUACUGCUUAAUUACAUAAGACAUUCCUUAGCUAAGUCAUGCUUGAUACCAUAACCCAAAGCUGUUUUACAUUCCACAAGAGUCCAUUCUCUAUCAGCAGAAAAUAAAAAGUACUGAGUUGUC